rnacentral:rRNA from 1 species
GACGAACGCUGGCGGCGCGCCUAACACAUGCAAGUCGAACGAGCGAGAGAGAGCUUGCUUUCUCGAGCGAGUGGCGAACGGGUGAGUAACGCGUGAGGAACCUGCCUCAAAGAGGGGGACAACAGUUGGAAACGACUGCUAAUACCGCAUAAGCCCACGGUGCCGCAUGGCACAGAGGGAAAAGGAGCAAUCCGCUUUGAGAUGGCCUCGCGUCCGAUUAGCUAGUUGGUGAGGUAAUGGCCCACCAGGGCGACGAUCGGUAGCCGGACUGAGAGGUUGAACGGCCACAUUGGGACUGAGACACGGCCCAGACUCCUACGGGAGGCAGCAGUGGGGAAUAUUGCACAAUGGGGGAAACCCUGAUGCAGCGACGCCGCGUGGAGGAAGAAGGUCUUCGGAUUGUAAACUCCUGUUGUUGGGGAAGAUAAUGACGGUACCCAACAAGGAAGUGACGGCUAACUACGU